rnacentral:rRNA from 1 species
UACGGAGGGUGCAAGCGUUAAUCGGAAUUACUGGGCGUAAAGCGCACGCAGGCGGUUGAUUGAGUCAGAUGUGAAAUCCCCGGGCUUAACCCGGGAAUUGCAUCUGAUACUGGUCAGCUAGAGUCUUGUAGAGGGGGGUAGAAUUCCAUGUGUAGCGGUGAAAUGCGUAGAGAUGUGGAGGAAUACCGGUGGCGAAGGCGGCCCCCUGGACAAAGACUGACGCUCAGGUGCGAAAGCGUGGGGAGCAAACAGGAUUAGAUACCCUGGUAGUCCACGCUGUAAACGAUGUCGACUUGGAGGUUGUGCCCUUGAGGCGUGGCUUCCGGAGCUAACGCGUUAAGUCGACCGCCUGGGGAGUACGGCCGCAAGGUUAAA